rnacentral:lncRNA from 1 species
GUUAACAUCAUUGUACUUUGGAAUGUAACGGAUCAAAGUUGUCUUAUUUGUGUUAAGCUGCAUCUACUCUUUUUUUUUUUUUUAAUCUGGGGUAUUUUCAUUCUUUCAUCAGCAAUCAGUUUUUUGUUGUUGCUUUUUUCGGCCUCUUAUAGACAUGAGUAAACAACGACAUUAUAUUAAAUAUAGACGGACAGUAGCUACAAAGCAACCAAAACAAUGCCUAUCAUGUUUCUUUUCAAUGUUUUUUUUCGAAAACGUUUUUUUUUCUAAGAGGGUACGAUAAGGGCUCUAUUCGUGUCUCUCGAAUUUGAAAUUCAAAGAUUAUUGUAAAUAUAAAAAAUGAUAUCGUUCAGAUGUUCAGAAAACAAUGAUUAGUCUGUAGAACAUGAGUUUUGAUAUUUUUGAAUUUUGUUUUACCAAUUGUCACAAGGGC